GGCUUUUGGCUCAGUGGUAGAGCUAUCGCCUGGCAUGUGUGAGGUACUGGGUUCAAUCCUCAGCACCA
rnacentral:tRNA from 1 species